rnacentral:lncRNA from 1 species
AAUGAUAGAAAUUGUACUUAUUUUCUAUAAUGUCUCGGCGUCCCUGCAACACAAAGUUCUUUUGAUACCUUUAGGACAGUAAUAGCAGAUUUGUUGCUUGAAGAUAGAAAGGUUUUAGCCACCUGAUUCCUGUUGAUGUUUGAGCUACCUCAUUGUUUAUGUUGAUGCAUUGUCCUUGUUGUGACAGCAUUGCUAACUAAAUGCUCAUAUUUUCUUCGGUUUAAUGAUGUGAAGGCACAUGUGGAGUUGUACUACAAGAGCAAGUGGCUGUUAGAUUGAGAAACUUGAGGCUACCUUUCAGACCUCCCAUGGUGCUCUAUCAAUUUGUUCUUUUCUCCAUUCUCUAAAAACUUAAUAAUUGGUCACUUACGCGUAAAAUGAUGCAAUUCCGAGUACUCUGAUGAGACGUGGAUGCUAGAUUGUUAUUUCUGGUUCUUUGUGGCAUUCCAUUACUUGCUUGACGGCAGAUAAUUUUUGCCAGCUGAUUUGACUCUAGAAUUGAGCUAGUUUUUUUUUUUUUUUUUUUUUUNNNNNNNNNNNNNNNNNNNNNNNNNNNNNNNNAUAGCGCACAUUCCACUAAUGCAUUAUUUCCCCCAGAACACUCAUAUUGGCUCUUUUGAUUAUACAAGUGUCGGAAGGGGAUGUUUCCAAGUACAGAUUAGCUCAAAGAGACGAGCCUGCUUGUGUUUAGUUACUCCCUCCGUCCCAGCCAUUUGUAUACAAAUGGUUGGGACACGGAAACUAAGAAAUUGUGUAAGAAUUGAGUAAAGUUGGAUGAAAAAUGGGUAUAGUGGUGGGAUCCAUUUAUAUUUAAUACUCAUAUCUAUACUAUACUAUUAAAGCCGAAAGAUUAAAAGUUUGGUCGGUCGGUACUUGGGCCAAAAUACGGGCCUAUCUAUAUAACUAAUUAUUCUUUUUAAUUUGGGCCAAAUUACGGGCCUAUCUAUAUAACCAAUUAAUAAUUCUUUUAAAAUCGUCGGUACUUGGGUCAAAAUACGGGCCUAUCUAUAUAACUAAUUAUUCUUUUUAAUUUGGGCCAAAUUACGGGCCUAUCUAUAUAACCAAUUAAUAAUUCUUUUAAAAUCGCGGUACUUGGGUCAAAUACGGGCCUAUCUAUAUAACUAAUUAUUCUUUUAAUUUGGGCCAAUUACGGGCCUAUCUAUAUAACCAAUUAACAAUUCUUUUANNNNNNNNNNNNNNNNNNNNNNNNNNNNNNNNNNNNNNNNNNNNNNNNNNNNNNNNNNNNNNNNNNNNNNNNNNNNNNNNNNNNNNNNNNNNNNNNNNNNNNNNNNNNNNNNNNNNNNNNNNNNNNNNNNNNNNNNNNNNNNNNNNNNNNNNNNNNNNNNNNNNNNNNNNNNNNNNNNNNNNNNNNNNNNNNNNNNNNNNNNNNNNNNNNNNNNNNNNNNNNNNNNNNNNNNNNNNNNNNNNNNNNNNNNNNNNNNNNNNNNNNNNNNNNNNNNNNNNNNNNNNNNNNNNNNNNNNNNNNNNNNNNNNNNNNNNNNNNNNNNNNNNNNNNNNNNNNNNNNNNNNNNNNNNNNNNNNNNNNNNNNNNNNNNNNNNNNNNNNNNNNNNNNNNNNNNNNNNNNNNNNNNNNNNNNNNNNNNNNNNNNNNNNNNNNNNNNNNNNNNNNNNNNNNNNNNNNNNNNNNNNNNNNNNNNNNNNNNNNNNNNNNNNNNNNNNNNNNNNNNNNNNNNNNNNNNNNNNNNNNNNNNNNNNNNNNNNNNNNNNNAAAGUUGGUGAAUGGGUUGGUAUUCAACCCACGGAGCUCUUGAAUUUAUAACAUGUUAUACUAUAGUUUUUUUUAUCAUUUAUUAAACCAAAACAUUAAAUUCAAAUUAGUAUGAUGGGUCGGUAUUUGGUUUCAUGCGUCUCUUUAAACUAUAAUAUGUUUUAUACCAUAUUAUGAAUUAUUAAUAACGAAAUAUUAAAAAGGUUGAUUGGUUAGUUUAUAUAUGAGUUUAUAGACCUUCUUAAAUUAUAACAUGCAAAAAAAAAUAUUUUAACAUUCUCAUUAAAAUAUAUAUGUUCGACCUAAUAUUUAAUUAGCCAUUUGACGGACUUAACUAUGAAGAAUUUAUCCAACUGCUAAAUAAAAUAUUUAUUUAACCACAUUAUUCUAUCAUAAUUUUAUUUUUACAAUAAAAUUAGAUAAAUUUAAGAUAUAUAAAAUAAAAUAACAAAUAUGUUAACCUCUCGUGCAUUGCACGGGUUAUAAGCUAGUGAUUAUAUAAUGGAGAUAGGGGAAGAAAGUAAUUUGUGUAAUGAUGUUUUAUAUUAUAAAAGUUUACAAAUUUUGGAAUGUAUACGAUUGGUGGGACGUCCCAAAAAAGAAAUGGUAUACAAUUAAUUGGGACGGUUGGAAUACUACCUUUGGACUGUAUUCAUCAUUUUCUUCGAGAACCGAGGUACUUUUGUAGGGUAGAUACCAUGUCCCGGGUCCGUAUCCACUGAAUCCAGCACUGCUAAGUUUGUUUAUCUCGGUCCCUAAGCUGAAAAAUAUCUGAUUAUGUAAUAUGUUAGGGCAUUUCCAACCAUCACUCUAAACUUUAUAUUUCUUCACUUUUAACUUUAUAAAUAGAGCAAUUCAUCUCCAAUCAUCUAUUACUUUAUCUUUAUAUAUAAAGUCAUGCACUAUCCUACUCUAUAUAUGAAGUUGAACUUGAAGCAAAAGCACAAAUUGCUUUAUUUAUAAAAUGAAGUAAUGGUUGGAGAUGGAAUAAAGAUAUAAAGUGAAAAAGGUGAAAAUGAAGAUGAAGUUGCUUUAUUUAUAAAAUUAUGAUUGGAGAUGGUCUUAGAAACCGAUUUUAAAGUCAGAAAUUAAUUUAAAACUAAAAGUUUUUGAAUUACUUUUUUCAUUGACUCUUUUUAUAAAAGUAUUCAUAAGUUAUUCUAAACCACUUUAUUUUAUUAUUAUAUUCUUAAUUAUCUAUAAAUCAUUAAUAAAUCAUAUUUAUCCGAACAAAUAUGUUAAGUAUUUAACACGAUAAGUAAUAAGUCAUAAUUUUAAAUUCAGUUAAACGAGUUCCGGCAAGCAGGACUGCUUUUUACGGUGUGAGAUGCAUUUUUAGCAUCCAGAAGCACACUGAUAGUUUAUUACCAGAAAUUGUAAAAGACUAAAAACAACUCGACUCAUGAAAGGUGUGUCUAUAUUAUCAAAUCAGAAUAAAUAAUUUUCGUCGCGAUUAAAAUAGGUAAAUCUAAUCUUCACCUAACCCUUGAUUUUGACAGGGCUUAAUUUGCUUCCGUGUUUAGCUUAGCCGAUAAUUAGCGAUAAUUAGCAUUAUAGUUAUUUUUCUCUGCCUUUUUGUACGCGUUUUAUGAGCUCAGCUCCCCCUCCAGUUCACGUACCUUGAUAUUUUAGCCCACAAGAGUUACAAACUCUAAAUAUUGAUAAUUUCUCUCUAAUCGGAUUUGUCUAACUAUAUGCGCUUUAUUUGUCCACUAAUCAACGAGUUUACUUUCUUAAUUACGUGUUUAAUGAGGGUUCCUCUCUUUAUUGAAAGCUUUUUUCCUACAAUAAUAAUAUUUAAAACAUUCCCUUAAGACCACUAUUAAAAACUGCAAAUAAGCGAUUUGGCCUUCCAAACAUGUGGAGCACACACAUCAUUACAAAUCCUUCUUCUCUCAUCAGCAUGACUACCGGAACACUAGGAUACUCGAAUACGAGAUACAUUGUUACUGCGAGAACAAUAAAUUUCUCGAUAUAACGCGAACAAAAAAAAAUAAUCUAAGAAAAGCACACACGAACUAACAAGGAUAACAACAAAAAAAUAUCUAAGAGCCAGCUCCAAGGACUUCAAUUGUAUAUUUGUAGAUAUGGUGAUAAAGGGAUUAGGCAAAAAGAAUAGUACAAUAAACACGAGUGACAAGUCUAUUAUAAUUGACUCUGCAGUGGCAAGAAUUACGGUGGAUCGAUACCAAACUUGGCUACUUGUACUUGGUGGGUUGAUAAUAAUCCGGUUGUUAAUAUCAACAGGCUAUAUAUUUGAAUACAUCGCAUAUAACUAUUAGGCGUUUUUAUUUUUCCAAAAACCAUGUUAAAUCAAACUACAUAUCUCCAACUAAAGGUAGACAACUCACAUUUUACAACUCACAUUUUACAACCAAUAGGCUAAAUUAUUCAAUUACAACUUUAGUUUGCUUCGACCAUACGAGCUUUCUUUGACUACAUUAAUUAAGCUGCACAUGGACUCAUAUAUUUAUUUUUGGUAUGUACCUCAUUUAUACUUUUAACUUAUCAAAUAAAAUUUUUUUAGUUAAAUUAGUCAACAUAUGCAAUCACAUUAAAAAUAUAAUUUUUGAUCUAAAAAAAGUGGGAAAACAGAUUUUUUUAUCACUAAAUUAUUUUCUUUUUUAGAAAUUUGUUACCGAACAAUUAUUUUACUCAAUAUUAUCACUUAUGUUAUGAACGUUUGUGAUUUUAGUCGCUCUUUUAAAUUUUAUAAUGAAAAACUAAUUUUUUUUGUCACUCAACUAUUUAUAUUUUAGCAACUUACCACUAAAUUACAUAGUAAUUUUUUUUCAAGACAUUAAUGCUACGUUCGUAUCUGAAAUGUUAACUUAUUUUCUUUCCCAAAUCAUAAUAAUUUAAAGAUAUAUGUCCGUUACCGAGCAUAUAAUAGUCAAAUUAUUUAUAUUUACUAUGUCAUAUGUACCCAUUAGCAAAAGAAUCUAUGAUCAUAUUUUUUAAAGGUUACUUAUAAAAUUUAACAAAAAUACCGAAAAUAAGAAAUGUAUGUCACGUUAGUGGUUAUAUUAAUUAAGUUUAUUGUUUAACGGUAAGUUCUUGAAAGAGUCAAUUGUUUUGUGAUAAAAAAAAAUCCUUUUCUUCUAAAUAUUAACGGAACAAUUAACGAAUUGUUUAAAUUAUAAUAUUAAGAUUAUAUCAAUGAUAAAAACAAAAAGCUUUAUAGUUCAGUGGUAGGUUUCUAGAUAUAUAUACAUUAGGUGAUAAAAAAUUUAUUUUUCAAAAGAAAAUAAGUUAUAAUUUAAAGUUGUAAGUUAUUUAUUUUUAAAUUUUUAAAUAGGUAAUAAGAAGCAAUUAUAUACAUUUGCUUUGGAAAAACCACCUCACACUUCUCUAUUUCAAGAGAAAAAUUCGAAAACAUCAAAUCUGACCCAAAAGUUUAAAAAAUCAUAAAAAACAUAUCUACGAGUGUCAUCCUCCAUCAAAACUCUCACUAAAAAAGGUUUAGGAUUUGCCGCUUCAAUUGAGUUUAUCAUUGAUUAUUCUCAUUCUCCAACAAUUGGUGACCCGAAAUAAUAAGAUGAAGUCUGCGCAUAAUCAUAAAAAUCAUUAUCAAUAAAAGUAUUAUAAUAUUCAUACUUGGCCACUAUACAAGCAGCUAUCUUCACGUGUCAAGUCACGGCAGAGACUAACCAACCUAAUCUUUCCUCGAUAAACAAACUCAUCACCGCAGAGACUAACCAACCUAAUCUUCUCUCGAUAAACAAACUCAUCACAUAUUUCUCCUAUUUCUUCAAGUGUCCUAACUCAUGCUAAUAUAGACUCAACAAUAUAUUCACGCGAAUAGCAUUAUAAGACACAAUCGGUAAAAAACUUCAACAUAGCAAUGAAAUGUGAACGAGUCUAAAACAUGAAUAACCAUCUGUCUAUCAUCAACAUCAUCAAAAAAUAUUAUUUUCCAUCUUGAUCAAACCUAUAAAACAAAAACUCAAUAAAAAACUUUACUCGACCACAACUAAACCAACAUAAUCAAACUCGUCAUUAUCGUAUUAACACAAAUCAAACAAAAAACCAAAACCUCAAAUAUAUUGUGAAACGGUAAAUAUUUUUGCUGAAAAAUACGUUUGUUUGUUGGCCGUAGGUACUCAAAAAAAUAAAUUUACUCAACCACAAGUAAACCAACGUAAUAAAAUUCGUCAUUAUUGUAUUAACACAAAUUAAACAAAACACCAAAACACUGAAUAUUGUUGUUACACGUUAAACAAGGCGUAUAAACUAUUACAAUCUAUGUUUUAGCAACUUGCAAUUUAUGCCAGUAAGGCAGUAACAUUCAGUACACGACAACAUCAAUAUACUCAUAAUAUAUAAGCAUUAACUAAUAUGGCAGUGCACUAAUCUCGGUAAAACAUUACUUUCGUUCCAAAACAAGGUCUAAAUUAGAACCAAUUUGAGCAACCUGUCUGUUAGAAGCAACUGUUAGAAGCAACUCAGAUUGACGACAUAGAAAUCACUGUUCCUCCAGUGAUUCUUUUUAUAACAGAUUGACGACAUAGAAAUCACUGUUCCUCCAGUGAUUCUUUUUAUAACAGAUUGACGACAUAGAAAUCACUGUUCCUCCAGUGAUUCUUUUUAUAACAGAUUGACGACAUAGAAAUCACUGUUCCUCCAGUGAUUCUUUUUAUAGACACUUCCGUAAACAAUCUUCUAAAAUUACUUUUUUAAUUAAAACACAUUAUCCUUUUAAGAUUUUUUAAAAUUAUUCUUUUUAAUUAAAAUAUCUUAUCUUUUUAUAUUUCCUAUCUAAAAAAAAUUUCGAUCUUCUAAAAUAAUAUCGAGCAACAUAGUAAUUACAUUUUUAACUAAAACACAUAUCUUUUUUAGAUUUUCUUACUAAAAAAUAUCGGUCUUCUACAAUUAACACGGAUGACAUAUUUAUAAAAAUAUAUAUAAUUAUUAAUGAAUUUAUCAAAAAUACUGCUUUUUCUAAGUUUUUUUUUUGCGAUUUCACUAUCUUUUGAAAAAAUUGCAAAAAUACUAACUUUUUAUAAAAUAUUUGCAAAAAACACAUUAUCCUUUUAAGAUUUUCUAAAAUUAUUCUUUUUAACUAAAAUAUCUUAUCUUUUUAUAUUUUCUAAUUAAAAAAAACUCGAUCUUCUAAAAUAAUAUCGAGCAACAUAGUAAUUACAUUUUUAACCAAAAACACAUAUCUUUUUUAGAUUUUCUAAUUAAAAAAUAUUGGCCUUCUACAAUUAACACGGAUGACAUAUUUAUAAAAAUAUAAUAUUAUUAUAUAUAAUUAUUAAUGAAUUUAUCAAAAAUACCGCUUUUUCUAAGUUUUUUUGCGAUUUUACUAUCUUUUGAAAAAAAUUGCAAAAAUACUAACUUUUUAUAAAAUAUUUGCAAAAAUACGGUCUGCAACUAGAUGCAAACAGUGCAACUUCAGUUAAUUGGUCCCGCAGGGGUUGCAAAUAUGGUUGCAUCUGAUUGCAAGUCUGGUUGCAUGUAGUUGCAACAGGUUGCAUACAGUAUUUUUGUAAUAUUUUCAAAAGUUUAGUAUUUUUGAAAAAUUUUUAGAAAAGAUGUAGAAUUUUUGCAAAAAUAAUUUUGAACUCGUAUAUUUAUGAGGAAACCCCUUAUUAAUAAAUGACAUGUGAUAUUUUUCAACAAAAAUACAUUAAUAUUAUUUUUAAAUACUCUAAUGGUCUCACUUUAAAAGUACUAUUAUAAAUCUAUACUAUACCAUAAGUUAUUAUCAUAUUAUCAAAAUGGAAACAUGAAAAGUUUAGUUGGUCGGUUGGUGAGUCGCGUUUGGUGAGCCGGUUGGUAUUCGACCCACGAACCUCCUUAAUUUAUAACAUAUUAUAAUAUAUAUUUUGUUAUCUAUUAAACCAAAACAUUAUAAAUUAGAUUAGUAUGAUCGAUCGGUAUUUAACUUAUAAUAUGUUCCUAUACUAUAUUAUUAAUUAUUAAUUAUUAAUCAUGAAAUAUUAAAAGGUUGAUUGAUUGAUUUAUAUUUGGGUUUAUAGGUAUCCUUAAAUUUUAACAUGUAGAAAAACAUAUUUACAUAUUUUUAUUAAAAUAUAUAUGUUUCAAUUAAUUUUUAAUUAACAAUUUGGCGGACUUAACUAUUAAGAAUUCAUGUGCGAGUUAAGAGCUAGUAUAUAUGAAUACUUGAUCCUUAGAUUUUCUGCUAUAUAAGCUCUAUAUAGGGUCAUUCUAGUACUCGUUAUGAAAAGGAUUAGUAUACGCAAACUCUAUCAAUGCAACAUACUCGUCGCACGAUUCUUUGAAUUCCAAUAAGCAUAUUCUUAAUAGUUAAGUCCAUGCAUACUGCUAUGAGUAGUGAACGUAACUUUGAUUUUGUAGGUUCGAUAAGCACUCUGUUUUACCAGCAAUCAUUUGAAGUUCUAGUUUCCUCAUCUUUUGCUGCAGCGACCGCCAAUCGUUAUACUCUAGUGAUGUUGAGUAAAUGAUAGAAAUUGUACUUAUUUUCUAUAAUGUCUCGGCGUCCCUGCAACACAAAGUUCUUUUGAUACCUUUAGGACAGUAAUGGCGGAUUUGUUGCUUGAAGAUAGAAAGGUCUUAGCCACCUGAUUACUGUUAAUGUUUGAGCUACCUCAUUGUUUAUGUUGAUGUAUUGUCCUUGUUGUGACAGCAUUGCUAACUAAAUGCUCGUAUUUUCUUUGGUUUAAUGAUGUAAAGGCACAUGUGGAGUUGUACUAGAAUAGCAAGUGGCUGUUAGAUUGAGAAACUUGAGGCUACCUUUUAGACCUCCCAUGGUGCUCUAUCAAUUUGUUCUUUUCUCCAUUCUCCUCAAAGUUUAAUAAUGGUCAUUUCCUACUCUGAUGAAACGUGGAUGCUAGAUUGUUAUUUCUGGUUCUCUCUGGCAUUCCAUUACUUGCUUGACGGGAGAUGAUUUUUGCUAGCUGAUUUGACUCUAGAAUUGAGCUAGCUUUGUGGUUUACACAUUUACACAUAUAAUUUGAUUGUCCUAGUUGUGGUGGACAUGAAGAAGAUUCACAGGCAAAAGCGUACUAACGUUGGUGGGUUGGUUAUGACUGUUGUCGCUUUCUUUGUUCAUAGCGCACAUUCCACUAAUGCAUUAUUUCCCCCAGAACACUCAUAUUGGCUCUUUUGAUUAUACAAGUGUCGGAAGGGGAUGUUUCCAAGUACAGAUCAGCUCAAAGAGACGAGCCUGCUUGUGUUUAGUUACUAUCUUUGGACUGUUCAUCAUUUUCUUCACGAAUCGAAAAUCCAGGCGUUCGGGAAUAACAGAAGAUUGGACUCAGAUAAUUUAUUAUAGGAAAUUGUGAAAAAGAUUUGACUGAUGAAAGAUGUGUACUAUAUUAUGAAAUCAAAAUACAGUAAACAAUUUUCGUCAUGAUUAGAAUAGGUAAAUCUAUCCUUCACCUAACCCUUGAUUUUGACAUGGCUUAAUUUGCUUCCUCGUUUAGCUUAGCCGAUAAUUAUCAUUAUAGCCUUUUUGUACGCGUUUUAUGAACUCCCCCUCCACUUCACAGACCUUGAUAUUUUAGCCCUCUAAAGUUACAAAUUGUAAUAUAGUGUAAUAUAGAUAAUUUAUCUUUAAUAGGAUUCGUCUAACUAUAUGCACUUUAUUUGUCCACUAAUCAGCAAGUUUCCUUUCUUAAUUACGUGUUUAACGAGGAUUCCUCUCUUUAUUAAAAGCUUUUUCCCUACNCCUUAAGACUAUUAUAUUAAAAACUGCAAAUAUGGAAUUUGGCCUUCCAAAGAUGUGGAGCACACAUCAUUAUAGAUCCUUUUUAGUUCAUUUCAGAUUCACAAGGUGCCCAGUUCCCGUCUGCAUCCUCCUACUCUCAUCACCAUGACUACUAACACUGGGAGGUACUCAAAUACUAGAUACAUUGUUACUGCAAGAAUAAUAAAUUUCUACAUAAAGCGGGAAUGAAGGGAUAAAAAUAAAAAUAAAUAAAUUCUAAGAGAAGCACACGAACGAACAGGAAUAAGAUAACCAAAAAUAUCUAAGAGAAGCACACAGGAACUAACAGAACCUCAACGAGGUCUAAGUAACUAAGACAGCUCCAAGGACUUCAAUUGUAUAUUUGUAAGAUAUGAUGAUAAGGCGACUAGGCAAAAAGAAUACAAUAAACAUGAGUGACAAGUCUAUUAUAAUUGACUCUGCAGUUACAAGAAUUGCCGUGGAUCGAUACCAAACUUGGCUAGUUGGCUACUUGUACUUGGUGGGUUGAUAAUAGUCCGGUUUUUAAUAUCGACCAGCUAUAUAGGUUAUUUUUCAAAAACCAUGUCAUAUCAAACUACCCAUCUGCAACUAAAGGUAGACAAUUCACAAUUUACAAUCAACCCAGAAUACAUUUUUGACAAAAUUUUAGAAAAACAUUACCCACUACUUCCUCAAAUACGUUGAGUGUACAAACACAAUCAUCAAAAUAUAUACAAUGCAGGGCCUUCAAAUUUAUGCAAAUGCCAACUAAUCUCUAAUUAUCAUGUGAACUGUAAAACAUGAAACUUAAACAUUUACUAAGCAUGAAUUACUAAUAAAGAUUGUAUAUCAUCAUCCUCCUGAAGUACAAGAAAAAUACAUGGACAUCUGCUUACAAAUUUUAAUUUAUACAAAAGCGGAAAAUUAAUGUAGUCAAUUAAAGUGUCCAUUUGUAUUUUUACAUAUGUAAUAUAAUCCCUGCAUCCACUUGGCUCUCAAGUUGCUAGUGGAAAAAUGAAGGUGGCAUUGCCCCAAUAUGAUAAUAGCCGCCUCCCAACUUCAACUAUAAAUACUACUGGACUUCAUUACUAAACUUCACAUCCCACAGAUAUCUUCUACUUAUUUAUCUUCUCGUUAUCCUUUUGUUUCAAAAACUAGAACCCAAAAGUUAUUACCAACCUUGACUUACACAUGGGUUACCAAGUUCCUCAUAGUUUUCUACUCACUCUAAUGGUUUUCUUGCCAGCACUUUGUUACAGCCAAGACACCUAUAUCGCCUCUCGGGCAACUUAUUAUGGCAGCCCUGAUUGCUUAGGGACUCCAAGUAUGGACAAGUUCUAUCUUACUUUAUCUCUGCAUCUUCCCACAUGCAUGCUAGCAGUGUUUCCACUUUCCAUAGUUAAUUUAGACAAUUACAUGCCAAGUCUUUUAAAGCACUCCAUAAUUCUCUAAACAAAUAUUCAUGCAUGCACACUUAUAUAUCAUAUACACACAUGCAAAAAAUGCAAUCAUAAACUUUAAAAGAGAAUGAAGUAAUGUUGUAAAUGUCUCUCAGCUGGAGCUUGUGGGUUUGCUGGAUAUGGAAGGACUGUCAAUGGUGGUGAAGUAACGGGAGUCUCUAGACUUUACAGGAAUGGCACUGGCUGUGGGGCAUGCUAUCAGGUAGAGACUAUCUUUUAUUGCAGCAUUGGUAAAAUUGUCAUAUACUAGCAAAUAAAGUAGUUGUGCUAAUAGAACAAGUACAAAACAGUGAGCUCACAAGGAGUUCUCUAUUAAAUAGAAUUGAAAUUGACCACCAGCAGGUAUGUUACUUGAAAUUUUCCACGAAAAAUGAUGGUGCAAAGUUAAUAGUUCACCAUCACUUGCUACAAAAUUAUUCAUAUAUGUAUAUAUAUAGCUAAACACCAAUCAUCAAGUUCAACAUAUAUUGCGAAAAUAUUCACUAUCCACUUAUGGUAAAAUCUUUAUCAAAUAUCUCAGGUAAGAUGCAAGUCUCCAAAACAUUGCACAGAUGAAGGGGUGAAGCUAGUGAUCACAGACUAUGGUGAAGGAGACCACACAGACUUUAUUCUCAGUGUACGAGCCUACUCAAAACUGGCUCUUCCAAACAUGGCUAUAGAACUUUUUGCAUAUGGGGUAGUUGACAUAGAAUACAAGAGAAUUUCUUGCCAACAUCCAGGUUACAAUCUUAUGUUCAAAGUCCAUGAGCAUAGUAGGAACCCAGAGUACCUAGCCAUAGUACCAAUAUACCAGGCAGGCAUAAAUGACAUCACAUGUGUAGAAUUGUGGCAGGUACUUCCACUCAACAGAUAUCUUACAAUCUAUAAUGUUUUUUUAUAUAUAACUAAAUGAUACGUGUCUUGUCAUUAACUUUUAUCAAUGGAUGCAGGAGGAUUGCCAGGAAUGGAGGACCAUGCGUCAUGCUUACGGCGCUGUAUGGGACAUGCCCAAUCCACCAAAGGGCCCUCUGAACCUAAGGUUCCAAGUGAGUGGGAGUUAUGGGGAAAAGUUGGUGCAACUGAGGGGUGCAAUUCCUGCUGAUUGGAAGGCUGGAGUCGCUUACGACACUGCCAUUCAGCUUAACUAAUAAAGUUAAUAUAGAUAUCCCCACAUGUCGCUAGGAUACAUAUAUUACAAGUUGCUCAUCUUGUCCACAUACAUGUACUUUCCUAUAUUUUCUAGUUCCUUAUGUUUCUAAAGAGUGUUUUCGAGUUAUUGGUGUUAGGCUGUGUCAAAUAAAUAUGUAACCUAUUUGGUGAGCAUAAAUAUGUAUGUUGUGCAAAAGUAUUUCAUGUCAGAUCUUUCAGCUAUUGGAUAUCAGUACAUCAGAAUCAAAAGAAUAAAAUGUUCAGAUUUUUAAUCCAAUGUUGACAUACUUUGGUUUUAAAGCAGUUAACUGCAUAGCUAGCUUUAAGCAAGUUUAGGGAAUAAUUCUCUAAUUAGAAGUACCUUACAGUUGUGAAAGCAGGGGUCAGGCGUUACAAUGUAUGUCCUUAUUCCAUCAUAGUAUUUACCAGAAAAAUAAUGCCUAUAGCUAGAAACCAGCAAACUGUUUGUAUGCAUACAUUGAAUUUAUUAAAAUUAUCAUACAAGUAACAUCAUACUUAGCAAUACUGUUUUGCUUAAUAGUGGUUUAUAUUAGUUGAUUUUUGAGCAACACGUACAAAGACGUAGGACACCACCAUGAGGUGAAAUGAGUUUCACAAACUGGCACAAGAGCACAUGGUAAUUUAUCUUGUAUUAGGAAUAGAGACAAGGUAUGCAUACAACGUAACAACCCCAGGCCCUCUGAUCUACAAGAAGUAUACACUAGGUCGUGGUAGAUAAAUCCAAUCAUGAUAAUUAAUAUAUUCAAGAGUUGUAUUUCUUUCUUGUUUUAAGUAUUUAGAGCUUAAGGCAAGUAGUUUCCCACUCCAAUUUCUUCAUCAUAUCCACAUUUUCACAUCCAUUAACACUCUUCACUUUCAAAGGAUAUAAAGUAAGACAACGUUAGCAUUACAGUCAAACCAAAAUGAGAAGAGCCAAGGAUACCAUACUUCAAAGUUCAAACUAGCUAUUAUCCACAGAGAGACGGUUAAUUACAGCAGUAGGCGAACUAUAUAACAAAAGAUUGAGUACCAGACUGCAGCUACUUGAUGAUUCGUUCCUAGAUCCACUCUUUCUGCAGCAAAAAGUUAUAAGCCAUCGAGACGAGACACCUUAAGAAAGUCAAACAGUUGAGCUAUGCGGUUGAUGUUCCUGAAAACAAUAAUCAGAUAAUACAUGUCAAUAUAAGAAAAUUAUGAAUAAGAAUAGAAAAGCUUUUAACGAUUACAGGAGUCACAAACAACUAGUAAUUUCGAAACAACUAAGCUUACCUGCUGCAAGUAGCUACCAUUCUCUAUGACGGCUUAUAUCACAAAAGAAGUCAAUCCAUGACUUAAUUACCAAACCCCUCUAUUGGCCACCACCUAGGCCGAUAAAAUACCAGGCCAUUCUCCCUGGCAGCCUUCAUGUAAUCCGUAUCAGUACCACCACUGAAAACUAUCCCCGCAGAAGCCAGAAGAAUCUCAAACAUCUCACAAUUAAAAGGCUUGUUACUACUUUCUCUCUCAGCACGAUCCCUAACAGAACUCCUCGGAACCCAUAAUCCUUCAUUCUCUUUUUGCUCCUUAAACGAAUUUGGCAAUGUACGCCUCCCAGAAACACCACGUGAUGUACCAACACCUCCCCUAGACACAUCCCUAACCGCAUCUAAAUCCUCAGCAUUCUUACGACCAAAGCGCCCUCGAGAACUCUCACAUUUUGCAUUAUCAACCACGUUAUCACAGUUCUCCUCAUCUGACAAGAUAACUACCUCAGUGUCCACCAUUUCAGUGUCAAUCACAUUUUUCCCAUUAAAUUUCGAGUCAACCUUUUUUCCCUUCAAGUCAACCUCAUCUCCACUCUCAUCAUCAUCACACACAACACCUUCAACAAAAACAUCACCAACACAUUUCCGACCCGACUGAGGAGUUCCGGGUCGGAUCUCGGGUCCUGGAGCAUCACAGCUAGAAACAGACCGAGACUGAUGCUGCUCCGGAGGCGUAUGAAAGAUCUCUUCAUCCAUAUGCUCCGACUCACUCCCCGGCAGCGACACCAUCGUUAUUCCGGUGACUCGAACCGGUUCUUCCGGCUCCGGUUCUUCUUCCACAGGUUCGAACGCAAAACCAGAUCUCCCAAGCUUUUCCUCCUGGAGAAUGCUGAUUCGGCACUCAUUCGUGAUUGAUUGAUACGGAUCUUCGUUCAUGCUUCAAGAAAAUCGAGGAAUAUUUGAUCAAUUUGAAGCUGCGAGCUCAAUCUGAUUUUCUAGGGUUUUUAAUAGUGUGAUUUGGGGCUUUUUAUUCCCGCGCGUUUCUUUAUUAUUAUUUAUUUAAUAUAACUGUCAAAUCACGUUCCCGCCCUUUUUGUAUCAACGGUCAAGAUUAAGGUGCUGCAGUAGUUGUAGUACUACACUUGUACGAGGGCAGUAAUAAUUUGUGGUACCCAUUUUUACGAUUGAUUAUCAUAACAAAUAUUUUGCUAUUAUUUUCUCAUAAAAAAUUUAAUAUUUAAAUUGUUAUAUAACAAAUUAAAAAUAUAAAAUAAUAUAAUAUAAUGAGAUGGACAGAGGGAAAUAAUACCUAACAUCUGCAUGAUAAACAAAAAAUUAAU